AUUGAACGCUGGCGGCAUGCCUAACACAUGCAAGUCGAGCGGAUGAAGGGAGCUUGCUCCUGGAUUCAGCGGCGGACGGGUGAGUAAUGCCUAGGAAUCUGCCUGGUAGUGGGGGAUAACGUCCCGAAACGGGCGCUAAUACCGCAUACGUCCUGAGGGAGAAAGUGGGGGACCUUCGGACCUCACGCUAUCAGAUGAGCCUAUGUCGGAUUAGCUAGUUGGUGGGGUAAAGGCCUACCAAGGCGACGAUCCGUAACUGGUCUGAGAGGAUGAUCAGUCACACUGGAACUGAGACACGGUCCAGACUCCUACGGGAGGCAGCAGUGGGGAAUAUUGGACAAUGGGCGAAAGCCUGAUCCAGCAAUGCCGCGUGUGUGAAGAAGGUCUUCGGAUUGUAAAGCACUUUAAGUUGGGAGGAAGGGCAGUAAGUUAAUACCUCGCUGUUUUGACGUUACCAACAGAAUAAGCACCGGCUAACUUCGUG
rnacentral:rRNA from 1 species